rnacentral:rRNA from 1 species
AUACGGAGGGUGCAAGCGUUACUCGGAAUCACUGGGCGUAAAGCGCGCGCAGGCGGCCAUUUAAGGUGGAUGUGAAAGCCUACGGCUCAACCGUAGAACUGCAUCCAAAACUAUUUGGCUAGAGUGUGGGAGAGGAAGAUGGAAUUAGUUGUGUAGGGGUAAAAUCCGUAGAGAUAACUAGGAAUACCAAAAGCGAAGGCAAUCUUCUGGAACAUUACUGACGCUGAGGCGCGAAAGCGUGGGGAGCAAACAGGAUUAGAUACCCUAGUAGUCC